rnacentral:misc_RNA from 1 species
AAAACCAUAGACAUGCAAUUCCA